rnacentral:lncRNA from 10 species
UCAUUUUCUCUUGCUGCCGCCAUGAUUCUGAGGCCUCCCCAGCCAUGUGGAACUGUUGUGUUGUGUUUUUAAUGGGAGAGUUGGUCAGCGUCUGCUGGAACAGAGCUACGCCUAUGGAACCGUAGACUUGUUCGUGCUUUAUUGCAAUACUUUAAAGACACAAAGUCUCAACAACCAUCUUCCGCUUGACGAGACAGAUCAUUCUAAUUUGAGCAGAAGCUACUAUGUCCUGCCCUUUGAACGCGGCGGCCCGGACAGCUGACAAGGACACACUGUGUAUUUCCAUUCCAAUUCUGGGAGUGCUCUGAGGCCUCUGGGGGAGAAGGACCCAUGAAAUAUUCAAAACAUAAGUGAAUAAAAUAUCUAGGUGCUAGAUAUGGGCCAGGAAGAGCCCUCGGCCCUGCAAAGUGUGUGUGAUGGUGAGAAGCUACCGGAAGAGAUGGUCCCUGUGCUUGGUUCAUUCCUUGGACAUUUAUCAAGCUGACGAAUGUAGCAGAGGUGCUUCAGUCGGCUGUAAUUCCACGGGUGGAGUGCUGGCUGGAGAGUUACCUGGGGCUGUCACACUGCAUGGGCUCCGGGACACUGUGGCUGCCCUUAUGUGGUGUCCCCGGAGGGCCCUGCAGGUGUCACACCGCUGCUCCACACUGCCACCUGCUGUCAGCAUCUGUGCAACGUAUCCAGGUCUCUGGGGGCUAGAAUGAAAAACAUGCAUCUCGUAACCAAUGAAAUCGGGCUUGUCCUGAAGACCUCGUGCAUUCAUCCAUUCUCACACUGCUAUAAAGACAUACCUAAGACUGGGCACUUCAUGAAGAAAAGAGGUUUAAUUGGCUCACGGUUCUGCAGGC